rnacentral:tRNA from 1 species
CAGGGAGACAACAAAAUGUUUAAUAUUAUUAUUUUGUCACCUUAGGUCGAUCGGUAUCUCACGUUCUUAAAUUUAUUAAGAAUUUCAUUUCCUAAGUUUUUCUAGGUCACACCCAUUAUUUUUCCUGGGCCAUUAGCUCAGGUGGUUAGAGCGCACCCCUGAUAAGGGUGAGGUCCCUGGUUCAAGUCCAGGAUGGCCCAUAUCUCUAUGUUGGGGGUAUAGCUCAGUUGGUAGAGCGCCUGCUUUGCAAGCAGGAUGUCAGCGGUUCGAGUCCGCUUACCUCCACUGAUUACCACCUCUUCCAUAACCGGUAGUAAAGGAAAUGUUUUGAGUUGUGAUCAAAUUCUGAAAGAAUCUAGCUUCCUAAUGAAAUCAUUAAGAUGCUGGAUUCAUUGAAUUAAUUUCAUUGUUUUCAGAGAACCUUGACAACUGCAUAGAUUAUUUUUAAAGACAAUAAGCAUCUUUAAUGAUGCAGAUUUAUUAUUUGUGCGAAUGCAUUAAUAACAAUUCUAUUAAGCUGAUGCUUCAAUUUUUGAAGUUAUU